UUACGUCCAUACUACGAUGAAACACCGGUUCUCGUCUGAUCAUGGAAUUUAAGCAACAUCGAACCUGGUCAGUACCUAGAGGGUGACCGAAUGGGAAUAUCAGUUACUGUAAG